GCCCAUUUGGCUCAGUUGGUAGAGCAUGGUGUUUGCAACGCCAGCAUGGUGUGUGCAACGCCAGGGUUGUGGGUUCGAUUCCCACGGGGGGCC
rnacentral:tRNA from 1 species